ACGAACGCUGGCGGCGUGCCUAAUCCAUGCAAGUAGAACGCACAGUUUAUACCGUAGCUUGCUACACCAUAAACUGUGAGUUGCGAACGGGUGAGUAACGCGUAGGUAACCUGCCUGGUAGCGGGGGAUAACUAUUGGAAACGAUAGCUAAUACCGCAUAAUAUUGAUUAUUGCAUGAUAAUUGAUUGAAAGAUGCUAUUGCAUCACUACCAGAUGGACCUGCGUUGUAUUAGCUAGUAGGUGAGGUAACGGCUCACCUAGGCGACGAUACAUAGCCGACCUGAGAGGGUGAUCGGCCACACUGGGACUGAGACACGGCCCAGACUCCUACGGGAGGCAGCAGUAGGGAAUCUUCGGCAAUGGACGAAAGUCUGACCGAGCAACGCCGCGUGAGUGAAGAAGGUUUUCGGAUCGUAAAGCUCUGUUGUAAGAGAAGAACGGGUGUGAGAGUGGAAAGUUCACACUGUGACGGUAUCUUACCAGAAAGGGACGGCUAACUACGUG
rnacentral:rRNA from 1 species